GGCUACACACGUGCUACAAUGGACAGAACAAAGGGCAGCGAAACCGCGAGGUUAAGCCAAUCCCACAAAUCUGUUCUCAGUUCGGAUCGCAGUCUGCAACUCGACUGCGUGAAGCUGGAAUCGCUAGUAAUCGCGGAUCAGCAUGCCGCGGUGAAUACGUUCCCGGGCCUUGUACACACCGCCCGUCACACCACGAGAGUUUGUAACACCCGAAGUCGGUGAGGUAACCUUUUAGGAGCCAGCCGCCGAAGGUGGGACAGAUGAUUGGGGUGAAGUCGUAACAAGGUAGCCGUAUCGGAAGGUGCGGCUGGAUCACCUCCUUUCUAAGGA
rnacentral:rRNA from 1 species